GCUCACCUUCGAUGGUCACUGGCCUCGCUGGAGAAGUGUGAUCUUCACGGAUGAAUCCCGGUUUCAACUGUACCGGGCAGAUAGCAUGUAUGGCGUCGUGUUGGCGAGCGAUUUGCUGAUGUCAACGUUGUGAACAGAGUGCCCCAUGGUGGAGGUGGGGUUAUGGUAUGGGCCCCAUGGUGGAGGUGGGGUUAUGGUAUGGGCCCCAUGGUGGAGGUGGGGUUAUGGUAUGGGCCCCAUGGUGGAGGUGGGGUUAUGGUAUGGGCCCCGUGGUGGAGGUGGGGUUAUGGUAUGGGCCCCAUGGUGGAGGUGGGGUUAUGGUAUGGGCCCCAUGGUGGCGGUGGGGUUAUGGUAUGGGCCCCAUGGUGGCGGUGGGGUUAUGGUAUGGGCCCCAUGGUGGAGGUGGGGUUUUGGUAUGGGCCCCAUGGUGGAGGUGGGGUUAUGGUAUGGGCCCCAUGGUGGAGGUGGGGUUAUGGUAUGGGCCCCAUGGUGGAGGUGGGGUUAUGGUAUGAGCCCCAUGGUGGCGGUGGGGUUAUGGUAUGGGCCCCAUGGUGGAGGUGGGGUUAUGGUAUGGGCCCCGUGGUGGAGGUGGGGUUAUGGUAUGGGCCCCAUGGUGGAGGUGGGGUUAUGGUAUGGGCCCCAUGGUGGCGGUGGGGUUAUG
rnacentral:lncRNA from 1 species